rnacentral:rRNA from 1 species
GCGAACGUGCCCAGUCGUGGGGGAUAACUACUCGAAAGAGUAGCUAAUACCGCAUACGAUCUGAGGAUGAAAGCGGGGGACCUUCGGGCCUCGCGCGAUUGGAGCGGCCGAUGGCAGAUUAGGUAGUUGGUGGGAUAAAAGCUUACCAAGCCGACGAUCUGUAGCUGGUCUGAGAGGACGACCAGCCACACUGGGACUGAGACACGGCCCAGACUCCUACGGGAGGCAGCAGUGGGGAAUUUUGGACAAUGGGCGAAAGCCUGAUCCAGCAAUGCCGCGUGCAGGAUGAAGGCCUUCGGGUUGUAAACUGCUUUUGUACGGAACGAAAAAGCUCCUUCUAAUACAGGGGGCCCAUGACGGUACCGUAAGAAUAAGCACCGGCUAA